GCGAGGGGAGUGAAAAAGAACCUGAAACCGUGUACGUACAAGCAGUGGGAGCCUCUUUAUGGGGUGACUGCGUACCUUUUGUAUAAUGGGUCAGCGACUUAUAUUCUGUAGCAAGGUUAACCGAAUAGGGGAGCCGAAGGGAAACCGAGUCUUAACUGGGCGUUAAGUUGCAGGGUAUAGACCCGAAACCCGGUGAUCUAGCCAUGGGCAGGUUGAAGGUUGGGUAACACUAACUGGAGGACCGAACCGACUAAUGUUGAAAAAUUAGCGGAUGACUUGUGGCUGGGGGUGAAAGGCCAAUCAAACCGGGAGAUAGCUGGUUCUCCCCGAAAGCUAUUUAGGUAGCGCCUCGUGAAUUCAUCUCCGGGGGUAGAGCACUGUUUCGGCAAGGGGGUCAUCCCGACUUACCAACCCGAUGCAAACUGCGAAUACCGGAGAAUGUUAUCACGGGAGACACACGGCGGGUGCUAACGUCCGUCGUGAAGAGGGAAACAACCCAGACCGCCAGCUAAGGUCCCAAAGUCAUGGUUAAGUGGGAAACGAUGUGGGAAGGCCCAGACAGCCAGGAUGUUGGCUUAGAAGCAGCCAUCAUUUAAAGAAAGCGUAAUAGCUCACUGGUCGAGUCGGCCUGCGCGGAAGAUGUAACGGGGCUAAACCAUG
rnacentral:rRNA from 1 species